AGUCCGGAGCUCCGGAACUCGGGGAAGAGCGUCCGGGAGCCGGGUCUGGGUUCCGCACUCCGUCCGCCCCGAUGGCAGAGAGUGAGAUACGGACGCCCCGGGACGAGGGGCUCAGGACCCGGCUACGGACACCUGCCUCCAUCUCCCUCCAGGUGCGGCUUCGGCCCGGACCUGGCCCCGCAGCCCGCGGGACAGGCUCCAGGGAGGGACCCCCCCCACCUCCAACCCGUCCUUACCGUGGCUGAGGCCAUCGGGGGAGUGGUCGGCCCAAGGCUCCUGUGGGUGGGGGAACCCGGAGAGGGGAGGGGAGAGGAUGGGGAAGGAGAGGGGACCGUGCGGCUCCCGGAACCGUCUGCCCAGAGCGGCAGCGCCUCCCGGUCACUACAACAACGGCGGCCCAGUCAAACCCCGCGCUCCAGGCAUGGCCAGCCGAGCCCCGAGACACCGCCAGCCCUGUAAAGAGAGGACGGGAGGUAUUUCACCCCAAUAAUAAAAUAAUAAUGCCAGAAGCUGAAGAGUAAUCAGGACCUCAGGAUUACUCAUAGAUAACACAAGUGUGAAGAGAGGGGAGAGCAGCAAAGGCUGAGCUGCGUGUGCCUGGUCCCUUCCAGACUUUCCAGAUAACUUUGCCCCACGGAGGACAAGGAAAGCCAAAAGAGAGAAGCCAGGAUUGUUAGUCUUGGAAAAUGCCUCCAUAUAGAAACAUGAGCCGGAGAAUAAAUCACUUGCCUCUCUAACCAGUUGGAUUUGGUCCGUGAGUUCCUAGUUUUGUUCACCUGACUUAGUCCCUGACUUUUAAAGUCAAGUGCAUCAACAUGCUGCCAGUACUUUGAUGAACAUCUAUACAGGAUCCAUCUCUACAGCAGUGAAUUCCACCUGGGGUAAAGUAUGCAUGUAGGUUAGGAUGCUACAGUGGGACUCUGUCUGCUUUUUCUGUCUGUUUCUGCUAAGGCCUCCACACAUUAGAUGGUCAGUACUCUUUGUUCUAUGGGAAGGGCUAGAAUACCUAAACAGGACUUUCACGGAGGGAGCAACAAACCAGUUUUGUGGCUCUCAGCAAACAUCCAUCUCAAAGGUGAGUUUGGAAAUAAUGGAGAGUAUGUCAGUGUGUUUGUGUCUCAGGCCUACUUCCCACGCCUAUGGGGGAAGGGUGGGACUUAUCUCUCUCUUCCCUCAAGCCUGCUAAGAGGAGAUUAGACUAUAUUUGAGAUAAAUACCUCCAGCACAGUGACAGCCAUGCAGCUCAUGCCUGUGAAAUCAAAAGGCAAGAGGAUGCGGCUGGCUGGCUGCUCUGAGGGCAGAGAGAAAAGACCAGACAGCUCUUGGAACAGACUGUUCUUCCAGUGACGAUGGGGACAAAGAUGCAUGAGUGUAUCUCCAGGACUGGAUGUGAGCUGCAUGGGAGAAAAAGAGUGCAGGCCUGCAGCCCGGGAAAACCCAAAAGGAUGCCAUAAACCCAACAGGAAGAUGGGUUGUCAGGGCCCCAGGAGCUGAGAAAGGAAUAAAAAUGACAGAGAGAGAAAAGUACAUUGUCCACAUCAUAAAUAACACAGCUGAAUGUGCCCAAUGAGGUCCUCAGAGAACCCACAGAAGUGCCCAUGGGAACAGUUCUCUCUGGGACUCAAACCCAGGGAGAGGUGCUUUUAAACAUGCAAAGAGAGGGAACCAUCAUCAUAUUACAUUGCAGUGUCCACAUGAAUAAGACCCUAACUUACCUCAUAUUUCUCCUCCUUCCUCUGCUUUAAUCCAGGAGGAGCCAGAGACCUCUCAGUAAGUGAAGAAGAGGGGAAAUAGGUAAAAAGCCACUAUUCCCCAUGUUAGAUGAGGAAAUAGGAACAUUCUCCUCCUCUACCCAACACCCACUGUAGCUUUUAGUGGCUGGAGUCAGGAGAGAAAAGUUUUCAUGUUAAAUGAAUUUCAGAGGUUUGACUAUGACAUAGAAAUGGAUAUUUUAAUUACUGAAAUAAAACUGUUUUGUAAUUAGAGGUGACUGGAAGACAUUUUAUCCUCAGCAGAAGAAUAGAUAAGGAUAGGACCUUCCCUCCCCCUUGGACCCCACCAAGGUUUUAUCCAGAGGCAGAGGAAGAAGUAACCCUUUAUGUGAGUUUGAAUGGGCAGAAGAAGAAAAGGAUGAAGUUGUCUUCUAAUUGCACUCUAUGAAUGUUGCUUUUUUGUUAACAUAAAUGUCACAUAUAUUUUUAGCUGGUGUAACAAAAAAAAAAACAUCUCAAGCCGGCUUGCAUAAUAACAGCUUUGGGCACAGUCUGAUCAAGGCCCCGGUUCUGUUUGCUAGUGAUCCUCCUGAUUCUGCCCUCUCUCCAUGCUAGUUUCUUCCUCAGAUUGACAUUCCUCUUGGUCACCAGAUGCCUACAAUCAGCGGGUGCAACUCUCUGCUCCCUGCUCACUUCUGAAGGGGAGAGCAUGGAUACCAACCACAGAACAAAGCCCUGCAGUCUCCCGCUGAGUAGAACACCCACGAAGAAGUGUUGGCCAUUUCCCUAUUGCCAGGGAAAUAUCAUGUAUUGGUUGGAUUAGGCCUGUAUUAAUCCAGUUAAUGGAACAUAGUUAAACUAUCCCAGACCCUCCAUAGACACUAGAGAAAAGGUGAAUCCAACCCAAAUGUAAGACUGCUACUCAAUAGGACAGAAAAGGCAUGGAUGUCAGUGAAAUGGGAAAAAAAAUGUGUGCCAAAGGAGAUCAGGAAGGACUGAAUAGAAGACAUGGCCUUUGAAUUGAAGCCUUUAAUGAGGAAAGGGGAUUGACAUUGUAUGAGGGCCAGGGUGGAGAGCGGGUUGUGAAGAGGAUAGGGAAAAUGCAAGGACACUGCGGAUAUAAGAAUUAAUGGGAGAAUCAUGGGCCACAAAGCAGCAGGAUUAUAUUACAGAGAUUGUAAGUAGUGUUUAUUGAAGCACAGGGUACUGGGGAGGUGGAGGAAAGAUGAAACUGUUAAGGAAUUUAGACACAGCAUGUAGUGGUUGGCAGGAAACAGAUGACACUCUCAAACAGGGUAGUUGAGGAGAGCUAAUAAAGGGACCAUUUACCAAGGUGUAGUUAGGAUUAAGAGAAAGCAAACUGGGAUGGUGCUGUGCUAUGGGCUAGCAACAGCAGGAAGUCAUUUCUGUCCCUAGGUCUGAAGAGGGAAGCAGGGGAGCCAACACCAAGGAACCAGAGAUCUUAGAGUCUGAAAGUCUGCAUGAUAGAAGCCAUGGCCUUUAGUAGAGGGAUCUUGCCUACUCUUAGCAGCCUGGCUUGGAGGGGCCUGGGGAAAUAAUACCCCAACCUCUCUCCUCUUCUUCAAUAUUGAUGACUUCCAUUGGUUAAUAUCAAACUGGAAGUUGGAGAGAAAGGGAGUCUAUCUAUACAAGUCAGCACCCUGUAGCCCAGAAGAGAGUAAAAAGGGGGUAAAAAGCAAUUUCCGAGGGACAAACAGAAAACACCCAGCACAGAAGGAGGAACAAACAUUUGGAGGAACAAACAGAAAAUAUCAGAAAACAUUUUAAUCCUGGGUCCUGGGACGUCAUGGAAGGUUUUGAAGUUAGGAGCACCGCCAUCCUCUAGGGGGAGCUCAAGCAUUUCUCUCCACUCAUCCCAAAGGCGGUGCAUCAAAAGAUCAGGGUGAAACUGACUUCAAGGAAAGAGCCCUCGGCUAGAGGAAGAAGCCUGGAGAAGUAAAGGGAUUGCUCCUGGAAUUGGAAAUCUACCCUUUGCACUUCUAUUUACUGCAUUUGGAUUGAUUUGCAAGAAUAACCAUUAAAAUAAUCAAAGCUAAAAGUAAGUAUGUACUGUGUGCCAAGUUCUUGACUCAUUUGGCACAACUCUUCGGAGGUAAGCACCAUUGAAAUUCUCACCUUCUAGAUUAAGAGGCUGAUAGAACCUGGAUUUGAGCCCAUUGACAAAGGACCACUCUCUGCUCUGUUCUGUUCUCAUGCUGCUGGUUUAGUCAGCUGAGUCAAAGGUUGCCUUUGCUUAGAAGGCCUAACAAAACCAGAGCAGGGUCCAUGGAAAAGGAGACAUGAAAAGGGACAUAUUUCCUGGUAAGAUUUGUAUUCAUUUAACAAUUUUAAGCACAUAUUUAAUAACCAGGCACUCACUACCUGACAAGCUCUGAGCCAGGUGCAGGGUAUCCGAGGGAACUAGGAGAGAGGCACUAAGUGCUGUACUAAGAACCUGAAUGAGUGCAUUUGAGUCCUGGGUCUGCUACAUGUGUGACCUAGGAAAAGUCACUUAAAUCAUUUAACUGUCUCCUCAUCUUUAACAUAUAGAUGGUUAAAAAGUACACAGCACUUGGAAUAAUAAACGGGCAGAUUGUUAAUGUUGAAGGUGUGAGCUGCUGUUCUUACAACACAAUGUCAGCCCUUGAAGCUCUUACAGUAGAUGGAAAGAUGGAGAUGAGUAGGAUCUAAUUAUUGGCCAAGUGCAAAGGAGCUAAAAAGGCCACCCACGCUGCUACUUACUUCAGCAAUACCCAAGGAAACAAGGGCAAAAAAAGAGCUCUAGAGGCUCUUCUUGGUCUAGCCCUGCUUUUGAGUUUGGGGCCAAAGCUCUAAUUCACUCUAAUUCAGGGGUGUUAGCAAGGUUCUUGUCUGGCAUUCUAGCUCUGAACAGUUGAUACCAGCUUCCUGAACCAUGUGUUAAGAGAGAUCUCAGACUGCAUGUAGAGAACGUAUGCCUUGAGAGAUAAGUGAUGUCUGCCAUUGAUUGAGGGUGGAGAGGAGGAGCCAAGUGGUUCUAGAACAGUGUCCUUUUGCCUAGAAUGUCCCUACAGCAGGAGCAGCUGGGCAAGACUCAGAAGUCCUGAUUAUAAUCACAGAUUAAGGUGACCAACUAUCCCAGUUUGCCUAGGACUGUUCCAGUUUUAGAACUGAAAUUCCUGCAACCCAGAAAACCUCUCAAUCUUGGGCACAUCCCAAUCAGCUUUGCAGGCUUUCUCUAUCUGACAAUACCAAAAAAAAACAACAACUAUGAGCUCUGACUAGAAGAGAUUACUCUUUUUGUCUUGGCCAAUUUCAGCCUGUGAAAAUGCAUCUUAUUCUGGCCUGUAUGUGCCAGCCAUAUGCCCUCAAAUGUUCCCCCACUUCACAAUAGCUGACCUCCAUACCUCUCUCCUUUCUCAGCUAUUUUUCCUGCUGUAUCCACUGACGCCUUAGUAGGAAACAGAUGGCACCAUCAAAGGGUUUAGCUGAAGAGAAUUUCAUACAGGGAUUAUUUACAGAGGCGUGGGCAGGGUUAAUGGAACCAACAAGAGCUGGGGAGACAGUCAGGGAUUAGCUCUUACCACAGGAGGUCUGCAGGGACAAAGGGAGGGGAUGCUGUUACCAGCCUGGUAAGAGCUGAAACUGUGCAGGAGAGGUCACUGGGCCUGGGAGCUGGAGCCUCUGUCUCAUCUGCGGUGUGGCAGAGAGGAAAGAGGAGGAGGGCAUAAAAAUCCCUGGCCCGGCUCUCCUCCUGCCCUCUGGCCUCUUGCCAGUAGUUUCUUGCCAGAGUGCAAGGAAAAGCAAAUGAAACAACAGGUCUAGUAGAGGGCAGCCUCCCAGGCCGCAGAGCGUGACAGGAAAAGGCAGAGAACAGAUCUAAGAAUAACCAUCCCAGGCCACCCUAUUGUCACUCAGCUUCCAUUCUAACACUUUACUUAGCCAAAGAAACUCAGGUCCUCAACACAGGGAAAACAUAGUCUCAUCAGCUACUGUAUCACUGAGUGAUGAUGUAUUUCAGUCAUAUUACUUCCUGGACCCUAAACUGUAACUUUAGUCACCACCAGGAUGCAAGGCAGCAAAGAAAGGUAAAAAAAUAAAUAACUAUCAUACUACAGCUCCACAUCUAAGCAUUUCUAAUCUAAUAAUCCUGACUUCCUCCUCCCAGCACUCGUUCCAUAAUUCUUUACCCUCACCUAGCAUCUUGACAGUUAAGGUGUCUUACUUGAUGGGGUGAGCCAAACCUUCCUUGCCACAGGAUCCGGGUGGUUCCAUCUUUGUUGAGUUGCUGCCGUUUCUCAUUGGCCAUUACUACUGGACAUGGGAGUGCAAUGAAUCCCAUGGGCUCUAGAUACAGUGUUGUUUCCAUGUGAUAGCAAAAAUCCCAAUUUCUCCUUGAUAAUCAAAAUUAAUCAUACCAGUCCAUACAAACAGCCAAUGCUCUGCCUUUGAUCAGUGUUGUGAACAACCUGAAAUGUUGAAGGGGCAUUCUCAGUGUUUCCUAGUAGAAAUAUAUCUCCCCCUUGGGCACAAGAACCUCACGCCCAUUAGAUGCAAUGUUUUAGGGACAAGAAGACAGUAUUAUUGAAGUGGGUUAUUACUCAUCCUGAGUUCCCAGAGCCAUGUAUUCAACACCAUGUAUCAACCACUGAUCUGACCACUUAUAGGACAGCACCCCAACUUCACAAGAUGUUGUCUCCCAGCAGGCUCCAUAAAUGAGCCUUCGAUAGGACAUUUCAUCAUUCCAUCAAUCUAGCUGCUUCCAGGUAAGAACAAUGAAUUCUACGAUGUGAGCGUAAUACCACAGCUGUUUCACUGUAAAUGAGUUCCUUGAUCAGUGACAAUGCUGUGUGUGACACCAUGGGGAUGAAUAAGGCAGCCUAUCAACCACAUAUGGUAGUGCUGGCGGAAGCAACAUGCACAGGAAAGGGAAGUUACUCUCCAGUAUAUGUAAUUAUUCCCAUGAAGACAAAUUCCUGCCCCUUCCAUAAUGUAGUGGUCUGAUAUUAUCAACCUGGGUGGCUGAUACUUCCAAGAAAUAGUGCCAAAUAAGGGUUCAGUGUUGCCUUCCGUUUUAGAAAUCUGGGCACUCAGCAGUGACAGUGGCAGAUCAGCUGUGAUGUGAGGAAGUCCAUGUUUAUUUAUUUCAUUGCCUCUGUUCCUAUUCCCAUGGCCACUUUGUACAUGAGACAUUUACCCAAGCACAAACAUGGCCAGUGUCUUAGCAUGCUCAACUGCUUUAACAAAACGCCGUAAACUGGGUUGUUUAUAAACAGCAGAAAUUUAUUUCUCACAAUUUUGGAGGCUGGGAAGUUCAAGAUCAAGGUUCUAGCAGACUCUGCGUCUGGUGAGAGCCUAUUUCCUGGUUCACAGAGGGCCACCUUCUGUGUCUUCAUAUGGUGGAAAGGGCUAUGCAGCUCUCUGGGAUUUCUUUUAUAAGGGCACUAAUCCCAUUCAUAAGGGCACUUAACUUCCCUGGGGACUUAACCUCCCAGUGGCCUCACUUCCUAAUACCAUUCACAUUGGUGAUUAGGUUUCCACAUAUGAGUUUUGAAGGGACACAAAUAUUUAGACCAUAGCAGCCAGGGAAGGAGGCUCACUACAACCAAGGGAUAGGUCAUCUUGGCCACCUCCUCAUUUAGCUUUCUGUGAGGUAGAUGUCCUCUGGGGGAACAUUUAUAUGCUAUUCAAAUAGCCUCAAAGACUAGCCAUUUUUAGAGGUCCAUUAUAUAACUUCCCUUUAGGUGAUCUUGGCACCAACCUUCCAGGUCCCUGAUAAUUUGACCAACCCAUUAGCCCCUGCCUGUGUAUUUCAGGAAACCUCAGCUUAUCCCUUCUUUCAUGUCAGUGGCCAACCAGAUGUACUUCCUGAAGUUCUGUCUAUGGGAAGAUUUUCCUAUGGCUUGCAGAGCCACCCCAGACAGAUAAUUCUUAAACCAGACCAGGCCACUGUCACCCUCUUUUCUCAUCAAAGGGUCAUAGGGAAUACCCGGGGAGACCAGAGGUACGGUUUGAGGGAAAGGCGGGAAGCAGUAAGAAGUCUGACUCAUCAGCUUUUGCAGAGAAGAGAAGUGCUGAGAAUAGAUCUGAGGGUGUGAGGGGAUAAAGAAUAACAGCUCACCCACGUCUGUGCAGUUCUUUACCCUAAAGUUUAAGUGAAAUGAUUCUUCAUCAAGCUUCUUCUCACUUGAUUUAAGAAAAUCCUUAGAGAUAUAACAGCAUCAAUAUUGCAAACCAAUAAGGAAACAAAGCAAUAGCUUAGCCCUUGACAUAUAUUUCUGAUAAGUAAUGUAUUUCAUGGUCUUUCCUAAAUGUACAUGAGGUAGAAGUAGAUAUAUCCAAUGUCUAUACUUAAUUGAUUUUUGCCAGAAAGUCUAUCUUGAAAUGUGAGCUUCUGAUAAAUUCCUUCUAUUUGUGCUUUUUUAGAACAAGUUCCAUUUUUAUGUUGUCUUUGUCAGUGACGGAGGAAAUCAGAUCAAUUUUUUAAAGUCAGUUUUUUAUAUAAGCAUUACUGAAACUAUUGAAAUCUGAAUAUGGUGUUUUUAAAAUAAACUGUGUUAAACUAAUUUGUAAUAUCAGAAGUCAGGAAGGGAAGCAUGAGGGGGCAUCUAGGGGCUGGUAAUGUUGUGUUUCCUCCUGUGGGUAUUGGUUACCUGAGUUAAUUUUUUUUUGUGAAAUUACAACAAGCUGUGCACUUAUGAAAGUUGUACUUUUCUAUACAUGUAUUCUUAUUCAAUAAAAAGAAAAAAAUGAAAGGUGCUCCAUAUAAUGAUGACCUUUUGGCAAACAUUUCCAUGAAAUAGAAACUAGAUGAAAAAAUUUUAUGAAAUGCUGCGUAAUUAGUGGAUUCUUCUGGCUAAACAGCCCAUCAAAAACACUUACUAAAGACCUAGAAUUAUUAAAGACCUAAGAAUGCAAUGACUUGCAUUAGAUAUAGCUGAUAGGCCAGUGAGAAGGACAACAUAUCACAGAUUAAUCAAUUCAUUCACAAAACGAAAACACUGAACACUUACUAUGUGUCAGACACUAGUCUAUAUGCUUGAGGUUCCAUGAGUAAGUAAAUCAUUCCAUGUCCUUGUGGAACUGAUGCCUAGUGAGGGGAGACAGCCAGCCAAUUAACAAUAAACAAUGAGUAAAUUACAUGAUAUGUUAGAUUGAUAAGGGAUGCUUAAGAAAAAGAGCAGAGUGAGUAAGCAUUGUGGGGAAGUUUGCAGUUUUAAAUAGGCUGUUCAGAUCGGCAUCACUAAGAAGGUGAUAUUUAUGCAAAGGUAUAAAGGAGAAGAUAUUGGCCAUAUGGGUAGCUGGGGAAGAGAAUCCAGGCAGAGGGAAUAGUGAGGCAGGAGAGAACCUGACAAGUUCAAGGCAAAAAAGCCAGUGUGAUUAAGACAAAGUGAGAAAAAAGAAAAGGAGUUGAUGUGAGGCCCGGGAAUCAAUGUGGGGAAGGAGAAUUCCAGGCUGCUGCAAGAUUUCCAUUUUCACUUUCAAUGAAAUGGGGCACCAUUGCAGGAAUUGGGCCAGAGAGUGGCAUAAGCUGACAAAUUUUGAAAGUAUCUUGCAGCUGUUUUGAGUAGAGGCUGAAGAGGAGAAAUAAUCCAGGUGAAAAAUGAUGGUAGCUUGGACUAGACUGAUAGCAGUGGACAUGUAAAUAAUGGUCAGAGUUUGAGUAUAUUUUGAACAUUGACCCAACAGGAUUUGUUGAAGGACUGGAUACGAGAUUUGAGGAAAGAGAAAAGUCACAUUUGAUUUUGAGGUCUUGAUCCUGAACAAGGAUGAAGCUGUCAUUGACUCAGCUUCAGAUCAGGGAGACUGUGGGCAUAGGAGGAUUGGAGAGGAAGAUUAGAAAUUCAGUGUUGGGCACAUUAGGUUUGAAAUGUGUAUCAGACAGUCUAAUAGAGAGGACAAGUAGGGAGUUAAGUAGAAGAGUUUAGAGUUUAGGAUGAAUGUAUGAAUACAAAUGUAAAUUUCACAUUAAUAGCCAUAGAGAUUAUAUUUAUAAGACUAGAUAAUAUAACACAGAAGAGAGUACAUAAUAGAGACAAGAACCAAAGACUAAGGCCUGGAGCACUACCAGAGAAGCACCCAAUAAUAUAGAAAGAAAGAACAGCCAGUUCCAUCCCAGAGUAUUUCAAGUCUGCAACAGGACUAGUUGACUUAACACCACUUGCCACUGUAAUAAUUACUUCCCAGGAAAAUAAGUCCAAGGAUAUUUUUCCAGUUUCUAUGCCAAGCCAUGAUAAUGAUUAAUUGCACAGUACCUGGCACAUGGUAAGAGCUUCCUAAUUAUUACAAGUUGUUGAAUGAAUUAUUUCAGGGCUCUGGGAAUAAGCCAAAAUCUCUUGAGACUUGAGCCUUUAUUAGAGAGACCUGAUAUAUGAGACACAUUUAGGGCCUUUCCCUUUUGGGCUCUCCAGGAAUAUUGAGGACCAGAUAUAUCAAGGUGAUCCAACCUGAAACUAAACUGGAAGCCAGCAGGCUGCUCCAUGCAAAUCAUCUGUGUUUCCUUCCUAAUCAAUUCUAUCUGUUGUUUUUUUUUUUUUUCCUUGAACAUCUAUCCUUCUGCCUCAGAGCCUUUGGACUUGCUGUUCUCUUAGUCUGGAUCAUCUACUCCUUUGAAUAGCUCAUUGUCUCUCUUUACUGAAGUUUCAGUUUAAAUUCACCUCUUCAGAGAAGCCUACGACUACUGUUGAUCACUAGUGAUCAUUGUUUGGCCUCAGCCUACACUAGUCUCUUCCACUUAUCUUUCUCUUUAUACCACUUACUACUGCCUGCCAUGGUAUUAUAUUUAUUUGGUUGGUUGGUUAUCCUCUGAUUCUCCCACUAAAAGGCAGUCUCCCUGAGACAGGGAUUUAUUUUGUUCUUCUUCCAUCCGCAAUAUGUAGAUCUAGAACAAAGCCUCGCCACUAGCAGGAAACUUGAUAAAUGUUGGUUUAUGAAUGAAUCCACUCUCUCAGAUCUGUUCCAGAUACCACUGGACCAGUUAAAAAUUAUAUGGAUUUCCCACCAUGUGGAAAGAUUAUUAUUCAGCAUAAGUAAAAGUGAAGAACACGUGAUCCCAAACCCACAAAAGCCUGCAAUCCGGUUGCUCUAGGUUAGACUGUUAGGCUGAUAGCAGUUUACUUCCCAUAAUUCUAUUUCCUGCCAGGCUCCCGAGAGGAGAGACAGUGCUUUGGGUGAAGAACAACACUCAUUUUAGCAGAGGUUCCAUGGUGUUUUCCAUGAGAGUCAUCUCUGGGCAAACAAUGUACAACGGAGUAAGUGUACUCACACCACCCUGUUCCUCCCACUGAAUGCGGCUAAAAAACCUGGGCAGAAUAAGUGGAGCAUCUGAGGACUCUGAAAAGUAAAUAAUAGCAGGCAGAUUGGAGAUGAAGACCAAAAUGCAAACCUUUCAUUGGAGAACAGUCUUCCCCCACACCAUCCCAUAGAAAUACUGUUCACUAUAUCUGGUUCAGGAGGACUGACUCUCCCAACUCCUUUCUCCAGGAGUGGAUACAUGAUCCAGGACUGGCCAGAAUUCUACAUCAAGGU
rnacentral:lncRNA from 10 species